UUACGGUCACAUCAGGUUGAGACACCGGUUCACGUAGGAUCACCGAAGUUAAGCGACGUCGAGUCUGGUCAGUAGCUAGAUGGGUGACCGUUUGGGAAUACAAGGUGCUGUAUG